UACGUAGGAGGCAAGCGUUGUCCGGAAUCACUGGGCGUAAAGAGCGUGUAGGCGGUCUGCCAAGUCUGUUGUGAAAGCGCCUGGCUUAACUGGGCGAGGUCGACGGAAACUGGCAAACUGGAGGCCGGUAGAGGGGGAUGGAAUUCCGCGUGUAGCAGUGAAAUGCGUAGAUAUGCGGAGGAACACCGAUGGCGAAGGCAAUCCCCUGGACCUGUACUGACGCUCAUGCACGAAAGCGUGGGGAGCAAACAGG
rnacentral:rRNA from 1 species